GUGUUUGACAUAGCCAAGUCAUUUCCCCUUGCCUUGGACCUUGGGUGUGGGCGAAGCUACAUUGCUCAGCAUUUAAACAAGGAUGUUGUUGGAAGGCUUUUUCAAUCAGAUGUGGCUGAAAUUGCUCUGAAAAACACACUAGAUUCAGAAAUACCAAGAGUCAAUAUCAUAGCGGAUGAAGAAUUUCUCCCUUUCAAAGA